CUGCAGAUUAUUUCAUUUCUCUAUCUGAACAUUCUUCAGAUUUGCAUCGUGUCAGAGUUCUGCUCUUCUUCUUCAUCUUCAUCAGCACCUGAGCUCUCUCCACCAACUCUACGGUAUCUCUCCUGCUGCUGACUCUAGAACUCAUCUCUCUCCUGUCAUACAGAUCAACAUGAAGAUCUCUUUCUUUGCCAGUUUUCUGCUGCUCUCUCUGUGCCAACUGUGCAGCAGUUCUAUCUUUGAUUCCAAUAGGAUUAACGUUAGGGGGGUUGAUGAUAACAAGUUUGAACAAGAGCAUAUCUUGGCUAACCUAUGCACCCAGGUGAUGAUUGACAGAGGAUAUGAUGUCCUCAACAAAACCACCUGUAAGCCGGAGAAAACCUUCAUCAAAGCUACAGUGGACGAGGUCCGAGCCGUCUGUGGGGGUGGAGGAAAGGGAGUCAGCAAAGAGAACUUUAAACUGGUUGAGUGUAAAGUUGAUCCUGCUCAUAACAAGCCUCCUAACUGUCAGUACACGGUGGAGGAGGUGGAGAAGAAAAUCCUGGUCACCUGUGUCAAAAACAAACCUACUGAGUUUAAAAUACAUGAGUAAUCUGUUACUAUCUGAUGAAUCAGAGUAAUCUGUUACUACCUGAUGAGUCAGAGUAAAAUGUUACUACCUGAUGAAUCAGAGUAACUUGUGUCUACUGUUGAAUAAAACACGUGACAAUUUAAA